CAGCAACUGGAGCGUUGCACAGAGACCAGCAGGAGGCCGAGCUGUGCAGCACGAGCACUUGUAUGUACAAAAGCAGGAGGCAGCGAGAACUACUAACAUUAACUCCAGAGCCGAGGCUCCCCCAUCAAGCCGCAGAACAACAUGUCCGGAGGGCGGCGUGUUUGCUUGCAGCAAGUCCCCGGAAGGGUGUGACUCUCAGUUCCUGCACUUGAGGAUUGAUUUUGAAAAUAAGAUUUCUCCAAGGUGCAAAUGUUUCUACACUCCCCCUAUCAUCUCUGUCACAGAGGUUAUCGCAGAUUAGAAUGCAAAAAAAACGCAUUUGCGAUGACGUUUUCUGAGCUCAUACAAUCCUCCCGCACUGAUAGGGCACAGCUGAAUGCAUGGAGGCAUACAGUGACAGAGGCCAGGAAAGCAUACAGUGAGCGCAAUGAGCAGAGGC